rnacentral:rRNA from 1 species
AUGCAGAGAACUUUCCAGAGAUGGAUUGGUGGCCUUCGGGAACUCUGACACAGGUGCUGCAUGGCUGUCGUCAGCUCGUGUCGUGAGAUGUUGGGUUAAGUCCCGUAACGAGCGCAACCCUUGUCCUUAGUUACCAGCACGUUAUGGUGGGCACUCUAAGGAGACUGCCGGUGUUAAACCGGAGGAAGGUGGGGAUGACGUCAAGUCCUCAUGGCCUUUAUGACCAGGGCUACACACGUACUACAAUGGCCGAUACAAAGGGCAGCGACACUGCGAGGUGAAGCCAAUCCCGUAAAAUCGGUCUCAGUCCGGAUUGGAGUCUGCAACUCGACUCCAUGAAGUUGGAAUCGCUAGUAAUCGUGGAUCAGCAUGCCACGGUGAAUACGUUCCCGGGCCUU